rnacentral:rRNA from 1 species
CCUACGGGAGGCAGCAGUGGGGAAUUUUGGACAAUGGGCGCAAGCCUGAUCCAGCAAUGCCGCGUGAGUGAAGAAGGCCUUCGGGUUGUAAAGCUCUUUUGUCAGGGAAGAAACGGUCUACUCUAAUACAGUGGGCUAAUGACGGUACCUGAAGAAUAAGCACCGGCUAACUACGUGCCAGCAGCCGCGGUAAUACGUAGGGUGCAAGCGUUAAUCGGAAUUACUGGGCGUAAAGCGUGCGCAGGCGGUUAUAUAAGUCAGAUGUGAAAUCCCCGGGCUCAACCUGGGAACUGCAUUUGAGACUGUAUGGCUAGAGUGUGUCAGAGGGGGGUAGAAUUCCACGUGUAGCAGUGAAAUGCGUAGAUAUGUGGAGGAAUACCGAUGGCGAAGGCAGCCCCCUGGGAUAACACUGACGCUCAUGCACGAAAGCGUGGGGAGCAAACAGGAUUAGAUACCCUGGUAGUCCACGCCCUAAACGAUGUCUACUAGUUGUCGGGUACUUAAUUGUCUUGGUAACGCAGCUAACGCGUGAGUAGACCGCCUGGGGAGUACGGUCGCGAAGAUUAAACGUCAAAGGAAUUGACGGCGNGAGACGAGACGACGACGACGACGGAGGGAGGAGG